CCUACUUGUCAACCCUAUAGGGUGGUACAAUUUCGAUUCAAAGAAAGCUCCAGAAUGUUGGAUAGAGAAGAAUGUUUUCGACUAGCAUGCAAUUGUAACUAGAAAGCAAAAGGCAAUUUAAGUGAAAUAGGCAUGCUUACAAUCCUA